rnacentral:rRNA from 1 species
ACAUCUCUUCGGAGCAUUUUACGAGGUGCUGCAUGGUUGUCGUCAGCUCGUGCCGUGAGGUGUCGGGUUAAGUCCCAUAACGAGCGCAACCCUACCUUUAGUUGCCAUCAGGUAAUGCUGGGGACUCUAAAGGAACUGCCUACGCAAGUAGUGAGGAAGGCGGGGAUGACGUCAAAUCAGCACGGCCCUUACGUCCAGGGCUACACACGUGCUACAAUGGCCGAUACAGAGGGCAGCUACCUGGUGACAGGAUGCAAAUCUCCAAAGUCGGUCUCAGUUCGGAUCGGAGUCUGCAACCCGACUCCGUGAAGUUGGAUUCGCUAGUAAUCGCGCAUCAGCCAUGGCGCGGUGAAUACGUUCCCGGGCCUU